AUACGGAGGAUGCGAGCGUUAUCCGGAUUUAUUGGGUUUAAAGGGUGCGUAGGCUGUGCGUUAAGUCAGGGGUGAAAUGCCGUCGCUCAACGACGGAGCUGCCCUUGAUACUGGCGUGCUGGAGUACGGAUGCCGUUGGAGGAAUGAGUGGUGUAGCGGUGAAAUGCUUAGAUAUCACUCAGAACACCGAUUGCGAAGGCAUCUGACGAAUCCGUCACGGACGCUGAGGCACGAAAGCGUGGGGAUAGAACAGGAUUAGAUCCCCUGUUAUGCCACGCCGUAAACGAUGAUGACUAACCGUCGGCGAUAGACAGCCGGUGGCCAAGCGAAAGCGAUAAGUCAUCCACCUGGGGAGUACGUCGGCAACGAUGAAACUUAAAGGAAUUGACGGGG
rnacentral:rRNA from 1 species